rnacentral:misc_RNA from 1 species
GCUACUACCGACUGAAUGGUUUAGCGAGAUGCUCGGAUCGGGCCCAGCUCGUGCGAAAGCAUGUGCCGGGACUGAGAAGAAGUUCAAGCUUGAUCAUUUAGAGGAAGUAAAAGUCGUAACAAGGUUUUCGUAGGUGAACCUGCAGAAGGAUCACGAUAGGAUGCGCACACGCUUGAACUUCAGUCACAUGGACCUGUCUCGCAUGACGUUACUUGCUUGAAACACCAACAACACUUAUCCUCUCUAUACUAGCUCAACCGCAUUGCAGUAUCUCACC